UACGAACUGUGCGAACGUUAUUCGGAAUCACUGGGCUUACAGGGUGCGUAGGCGGCUUGUUAAGUAGGGUGUGAAAGCCCCCGGCUCAACCGGGGAAUGGCGCCCUAAACUGGCGAGCUAGAGUGAGAUAGGGGUGUGUGGAACUUCCGGUGGAGCGGUGAAAUGUGUUGAUAUCGGAAGGAACGCCGGUGGCGAAAGCGACACACUGGAUCUUGUCUGACGCUGAGGCACGAAAGCCAGGGGAGCGAACAGG
rnacentral:rRNA from 1 species